rnacentral:rRNA from 3 species
AGCGGCGGACGGGUGAGUAAUGCCUAGGAAUCUGCCUGGUAGUGGGGGAUAACGUUCGGAAACGGACGCUAAUACCGCAUACGUCCUACGGGAGAAAGCAGGGGACCUUCGGGCCUUGCGCUAUCAGAUGAGCCUAGGUCGGAUUAGCUAGUUGGUGAGGUAAUGGCUCACCAAGGCGACGAUCCGUAACUGGUCUGAGAGGAUGAUCAGUCACACUGGAACUGAGACACGGUCCAGACUCCUACGGGAGGCAGCAGUGGGGAAUAUUGGACAAUGGGCGAAAGCCUGAUCCAGCCAUGCCGCGUGUGUGAAGAAGGUCUUCGGAUUGUAAAGCACUUUAAGUUGGGAGGAAGGGCAGUUACCUAAUACGUGAUUGUUUUGACGUUACCGACAGAAUAAGCACCGGCUAACUCUGUGCCAGCAGCCGCGGUAAUACAGAGGGUGCAAGCGUUAAUCGGAAUUACUGGGCGUAAAGCGCGCGUAGGUGGUUAGUUAAGUUGGAUGUGAAAUCCCCGGGCUCAACCUGGGAACUGCAUUCAAAACUGACUGACUAGAGUAUGGUAGAGGGUGGUGGAAUUUCCUGUGUAGCGGUGAAAUGCGUAGAUAUAGGAAGGAACACCAGUGGCGAAGGCGACCACCUGGACUGAUACUGACACUGAGGUGCGAAAGCGUGGGGAGCAAACAGGAUUAGAUACCCUGGUAGUCCACGCCGUAAACGAUGUCAACUAGCCGUUGGGAGCCUUGAGCUCUUAGUGGCGCAGCUAACGCAUUAAGUUGACCGCCUGGGGAGUACGGCCGCAAGGUUAAAACUCAAAUGAAUUGACGGGGGCCCGCACAAGCGGUG